GAUGAACGCUGGCGGCGUGCCUAAUACAUGCAAGUCGAGCGAACAGACGAGGAGCUUGCUCCUCUGACGUUAGCGGCGGACGGGUGAGUAACACGUGGAUAACCUACCUAUAAGACUGGGAUAACUUCGGGAAACCGGAGCUAAUACCGGAUAAUAUAUUGAACCGCAUGGUUCAAUAGUGAAAGACGGUUUUGCUGUCACUUAUAGAUGGAUCCGCGCCGCAUUAGCUAGUUGGUAAGGUAACGGCUUACCAAGGCGACGAUGCGUAGCCGACCUGAGAGGGUGAUCGGCCACACUGGAACUGAGACACGGUCCAGACUCCUACGGGAGGCAGCAGUAGGGAAUCUUCCGCAAUGGGAGAAAGCUUGACGGAGCAACGCCGCGUGAGUGAUGAAGGUCUUCGGAUCGUAAAACUCUGUUAUUAGGGAAGAACAAAUGUGUAAGUAACUAUGCACGUCUUGACGGUACCUAAUCAGAAAGCCACGGCUAACUACGUG
rnacentral:rRNA from 1 species